UACGGAGGGGGCGAGCGUUGUUCGGAAUUACUGGGCGUAAAGGGCGCGUAGGCGGCCUUGUCAGUCAGGCGUGAAAGCCCCGGGCUCAACCUGGGAUGUGCGCUUGAUACUGCAAGGCUUGAGACCGGAAGAGGAUGGCGGAAUACCCAGUGUAGAGGUGAAAUUCGUAGAGAUCGGUAAGAACACCUGCGGCGAAGGCGGUAACCUGGACCAAGAUUGACGCUGAGGCACGAAAGCGUGGGGAGCAAACAGG
rnacentral:rRNA from 1 species